ACCGGCAGCUCAAGUGGUGGCCAUUUUUAUUGGGCCUAAAGCGUUCGUAGCCGGUUUGAUAAGUCUCUGGUGAAAUCCCGCAGCUCAACCGUGGAACUGCCUUUGAUACUGCACGACUUGAAUCCGGGAGAGGGUGGCGGAAUUCCAGGUGUAGGAGUGAAAUCCGUAGAUAUCUGGAGGAACAUCAGUGGCGAAGGCGGCCACCUGGACCGGUAUUGACGCUGAGGUGCGAAAGCGUGGGGAGCAAACAG
rnacentral:rRNA from 1 species